CAGGGAGACAAUAAAUUGAUUGUGAUGUCUAAGUUAUUUAUUCUUAGGCCGCAAUCCUGUCACCUUAAGGUCGAUCGGUACCUCAUAUUUUUGAAUUAUUUUUAUGAUUGAUUCUUUGAUUUCAGUUCCUAAACUUGUCUAGGUCACACCCAACAAAGGUUUCUCCUGGGCCAUUAGCUCAGGUGGUUAGAGCGCACCCCUGAUAAGGGUGAGGUCCCUGGUUCAAGUCCAGGAUGGUCCAUUCGUUGUUGGGGGUAUAGCUCAGUUGGUAGAGCGCCUGCUUUGCAAGCAGGAUGUCAGCGGUUCGAGUCCGCUUACCUCCACUGAAAACUAUCCUGAUAACUAAAUUUCUGGAGAAAAAAAUUGUAGAUGUGGCUUAGAAUUGUCUAUUUGAAAAGAACCUAGCUUCUUGUCAUCUUUUUAUAGUUGAUAAAAUGCUGGGCUCGCAUGGAUUAUUUCCAUGAGAAUUCAGUAGAACCUUGAAAACUGCAUAGAUUAGAAAGAAUAAAGCAUCUCAUGGAUGCAUAGUUCUGUUUUUAUAAUUUAGCCUUAGAACUAAAUUAUUUAAUUCUAGAAUUCAUGUUUAAUUCUUGAGUAAUAGCCGAGCACAAUUGAUUUUGUGAUUGUAUUUAA
rnacentral:tRNA from 1 species